AUUGAACGCUGGCGGCAGGCCUAACACAUGCAAGUCGAGCGGAGCGGCGGACGGGUGAGUAAUGCCUAGGAAUCUGCCUGGUAGUGGGGGAUAACGUCCGGAAACGGGCGCUAAUACCGCAUACUAUCAGAUGAGCCUAGGUCGGAUUAGCUUGUUGGUGGGGUAAAGGCCUACCACGGCGACGAGCCGUAACUGGUCUGAGAGGAUGAUCAGUCACAUUGGAACGGAGACACGCUCCAGACUCUUACGAGAGGCAGCAGUGGGGAAUAUGGGACAAUGGGCGAAAACCUGAACCAGCCAUGCCGCGUGUGUGUAGAAGGUCUUCGGAUUGGAAAGGCCUUUAAGUUGGGAGGCGUUACCAACAGAAUAAGCACCGGCUAACUUCGUGCCAGCGGCCGCGGUAAUUC
rnacentral:rRNA from 1 species